GACGACCCUGGCCGCGUGCUUAACCCCUGCAAGUCGAACGGAAAGGCCCUGCUUUUGUGGGGUGCUCGAGUGGCGAACGGGUGAGUAACACGUGAGUAACCUGCCCUUGACUUUGGGAUAACUUCAGGAAACUGGGGCUAAUACCGGAUAGGAGCUUCUGCUGCCUGGUGGGGGUUGGAAAGUUUCGGCGGUUGGGGAUGGACUCGCGGCUUAUCGGCUUGUUGGAGGGGUAGUGGCUUACCAAGGCUUUGACGGGUAGCCGGCCUGAGAGGGUGAACGGCCACAUUGGGACUGAGAUAGGGCCCAGACUGCUACGGGAGGCAGCAGGGGGGAAUAUUGCACAGUGGGGGGAAGCCUGAUGCAGCAACGCCGCGUGCGGGAUGACGGCCUUCGGGUUGUAAACCGCUGUCGCCUGUGACGAAGCGUGAGUGACGGUAAUGGGUAAAGAAGCACCGGCUAACUACGUG
rnacentral:rRNA from 1 species